UACGUAGGGUGCAAGCGUUGUCCGGAAUUAUUGGGCGUAAAGAGCUCGUAGGCGGUCUGUCACGUCGGCUGUGAAAACCCGAGGCUCAACCUCGGGCCUGCAGUCGAUACGGGCAAACUAGAGUACUGCAGGGGAGACUGGAAUUCCUGGUGUAGCGGUGAAAUGCGCAGAUAUCAGGAGGAACGCCGGUGGCGAAGGCGGGUCUCUGGGCAGUAACUGACGCUGAGGAGCGAAAGCGUGGGGAGCGAACAGG
rnacentral:rRNA from 1 species